rnacentral:rRNA from 1 species
AGAGUUUGAUCAUGGCUCAGGACGAACGCUGGCGGCGUGCUUAACACAUGCAAGUCGAACGGAAAGGCCCUUCGGGGUACUCGAGUGGCGAACGGGUGAGUAACACGUGGGUGAUCUGCCCUGCACUUUGGGAUAAGCCUGGGAAACUGGGUCUAAUACCGAAUACACCUUGCUGGUCGCAUGAUCUGGUGGGGGAAAGCUUUUGCGGUGUGGGAUGGGCCCGCGGCCUAUCAGCUUGUUGGUGAGGUUAUGGCUUACCAAGGCGACGACGGGUAGCCGGCCUGAGAGGGUGACCGGCCACACUGGGACUGAGAUACGGCCCAGACUCCUACGGGAGGCAGCAGUGGGGAAUAUUGCACAAUGGGCGCAAGCCUGAUGCAGCGACGCCGCGUGAGGGAUGACGGCCUUCGGGUUGUAAACCUCUUUCAGCAGGGACGAAGCGCAAGUGACGGUACCUGUAGAAGAAGGACCGGCCAACUACGUGCCAGCAGCCGCGGUA